UGCUUUCUACUGAGAGAAAACAUGGGCUGUAGAAGAGGAGCAUUACCAAAACCGUGUGGUUUCUCUGCUUUUCCUUCUGACCCUAGGUUCAGUUGUCAGGUACUGAAGGAGGGCGGAUACAGCAACUCCUGACCCCUUCACCUACCCUGGGCCCUGUAGGUUUCUGCGUCAGCUGCUCUAUUUGCAGACCGCCCUCCUCAGACCUGCGCUGCUGAAUGUCCUUUGAUCUGUAAACCUGAGUCUGAGCCAGAGUGGUUGAGACAGAGGCGUCUGGGCUGACGAUCUCAGAGCAGCUGUUUUGUUGCCCUGUGGUGGCUUCACAGACCCAGGUCUCACCGAAGACAAACAUGAGUCCCCCUGUGAGACCGGUGAGGGGUGUGAACAGGUACUUCACAAGUCAUGAAGAGGUAGUAAACACAUGGAAAGUGACCAACCUCACUAAAACAGAAAGAAGAGAAAUAAUAGCAACACUUUAAUAUUUAAUGAUUUUUAGAAAAUCAUUCCCAGGGUUUGCAAACAACUACUGAUGGGAAGGUAACUGGCCUUUCUGAAAGCAAGUUGGCAACGUGUAUCAAGAACUGGAAAAAUGUUCAAUCUAAGGAGAGAAUAUUCCAUAAAAGCCACAGGAAAAUUCAGGAAUUUAGUGAAAGGUAGAGGUGACAUUUCAAAUGAACAAGAACAGAGACUUUCAUUGUAAACAAUAUUGAGCUCAGGAAAAAUCUUUAAUUGUAAAGAUGUUUAGAAAUGUUGGAUAAAAUAUAACAAAAUGCUUGAGCUCCCAAGGUAAAAAGGGAAUGCCCCCAGGGGCCAAACAACAAGGAACUGAAAACCAGUGAGGGUGGGUGGGUCAGGGGGCGAUACUGCUGCUGCCCUGGAUCAUUUGAACAAUCUAAGGCUCCCGCCUUGACUUCCAGGUGGGGACAGGACACCAGCCUUCAGGCUUUGUGGGUAUGUGGCAGGAGGAGUUGAACUUGAAUCUCAUGUGUAGCUGGGAUCCUUGAAAGUCCCAACCUUGAGUGGAAAAGAUCAGUCACAAUAUCUUCUAACUUCGAGAAAACCCUACCUUUGUUUGACUUGACUCUUGCUAAGGCCAAUAUCAUGGAGGGUCUUAACCUCUGAGAUUCUGUCCCCCUAGAAAACACUCAGCUGAUUCCCUCCGUGACCUCUCAAACUGGUUAUGAUAUCCUGGCAGGGAGUCUAAACUCCAAGAGGUGGUCAAAAUAAGACAUAUUUGUAGGUUUCUUCUUCCUAAUGGCCAAGCUGUUGACCAGUUUGGCAGGUCUACCAGCAUUUGAAAUGUGAUUCUACUUCCAGGAAACUGCCCCACAAAUUAUAAGAUACUUAUAAAAAUUCCCAAUCAUAAAAUAGCAAUUGUUUUCAGUACAUUUUAUUUGUAAUAGAAAAAAAAAAAAAAGGGGGAAUCAUAGGACCUUCCAGAAACACUGCUCUGUAAGGGCCACAGAUAUCCUCACUUGUCACUGUUAUAGAAUCAUUAUUAUUUUGGCUGUAAUGUUAAUAUUGAUUUAUUGAUAUAUAUAUAUAUAUUAUUAUUAUUAUCUUUUCAUAUGUUUUCUAAGAAGCAUUUAUAGUAACAAGAUCCUUUAUUUUGCCAAAGGCAUAAAUUAUUGUUCUUCUUUUUUUUAAAAAAUAAAAUUUACUAAGUAU